rnacentral:rRNA from 1 species
UACGUGUGAGGCAAGCGUUAUUCGUCUUUAAUGGGUCUAAAGGGUACGUAGGCGGUAUAUAUAAUCUUAUUAUUAAUCACCUUAGAGUGGGUUUGCAUAUUUAUAUACUAGAGUUAUAAAAAGGAGUAACAAACACGACAAGAGGAGUGUGACAAUACUAAUAUACUUGAAAGGUUGCGUAGCGGCGAAAGCGUGUUACUAUAGAAAAACUGACGCUAAGGUACGAAGGCAUAGGUAUCGAUCGGG